ensembl:miRNA microRNA 199a-2
ACAGUAGUCUGCACAUUGGUUAGACUGUGCAAGGAAGUGCAUCAGCAGCUUAUACUAAUGCCAUCUACAAAUAC